rnacentral:rRNA from 1 species
AACGAACGCUGGCGGCAUGCCUAACACAUGCAAGUCGAACGAGACCUUCGGGUCUAGUGGCGCACGGGUGCGUAACGCGUGGGAAUCUGCCCUUGGGUUCGGAAUAACAGUUGGAAACGACUGCUAAUACCGGAUGAUGACGUAAGUCCAAAGAUUUAUCGCCCAAGGAUGAGCCCGCGUAGGAUUAGCUAGUUGGUGAGGUAAAGGCUCACCAAGGCGACGAUCCUUAGCUGGUCUGAGAGGAUGAUCAGCCACACUGGGACUGAGACACGGCCCAGACUCCUACGGGAGGCAGCAGUGGGGAAUAUUGGACAAUGGGCGGAAGGCUGAUCCAGCAAUGCCGCGUGAGUGAUGAAGGCCUUAGGGUUGUAAAGCUCUUUUAACCGGGAUGAUAAUGACAGUACCGGGAGAAUAAGCUCCGGCUAACUCCGUG